AACUAGAAAAAGGAGAGUUUAUGACAUAUAAUUAAAACGUGUAUCAGAAAAAGGUUUUGACAUUUCGUGGUUACGAACAUUAAAAAUCUUCUUUAUAAUUCGAGAAUUAAAGAAACGGACAUGGAUAAUAUCUCGAAUAAGGAAGAACAAAACAAUCAGGAUGAUUCAGACUCUGAGAUAGACGAGGUAGAGCCUAGACUUAAAUACGUCAGGGUACGAAACGAUCUACAACAUAUAUUACAAAAUGAUGCAGCUAGUUGCAUUGCAGUGCAUCCUAAGUUCCUAUGUCUGGGCUCACACUGGGGUAUGAUACAUCUUUUAGAUCAUCAAGGAAAUAAUAUACAAUCUAAAAGUUUACAAGCGCAUACAGUUGCUGUCAACCAGAUUUCUAUAGACCACAAUGGAGAUUUCAUUGCAUCUUGUAGUGAUGAUGGAAAAGUUUUUAUAUAUGGUCUUUACAGCACAGAGAAUAAUCACAAUAUGAGCAUGGGUAGAUUAGUCAAAAGCAUAGCUAUAGAUCCAAAUUAUUAUAAAAGUGGUAGUGGGAGAAGAUUUAUUACAGGGGAUGAUAAGUUGGUUUUGUAUGAAAAAACAUUUUUAUCCAGAAUGAAACUAACUGUAUUGUGUGAUGCAGAAGGUGGAGUAAGAUCAAUUGCAUGGAUUGGACACUUUGUGGCUUGGGCAUCUGAUACUGGUGUCAGAAUCUAUGAUUUAAAUGCCAAGUGUUCAUUAGGUCUUAUUAAAUGGAAUAGAUCUGCUGAUGCAUUACCAGAGCACUAUAGGUGUAAUCUUCGAUGGUCUGAUGAUAGAACAUUAUUAAUCGGAUGGGUUGACAUAGUAAGAAUUUGUCAAAUUAGAAAGAGAUCAAUACAAGAAAUGAUUAACAGAGACCUACCAGAAUUUGUAGUGGAUCCAGUUUCAACUUUCCAAGUGGAUUUUUACAUUUCUGGUAUUGCACCUUUAGAAAAUCAAUUAGUAUUACUAGGAUGCUUGAAAGAAUUAGAUGAAAAUGGAAAAAGUCAGAGACCCACUUUACAUGUUGUUGAACCAAAAUAUCAAGAUUUCACUCUUGUUUGUGCAAAUUCCCUCACACUCCGUGGUUAUAAAGAAUACAGCUGUAAUGAUUAUCAUUUAGAUUGUUUGAAAGAAGAAAACAGGUUUUUUAUCGUAAGUCCAAAAGAUAUUGUUGUAGCUAGUUUAUAUGAUGCAGAUGACAGAAUUGAAUGGUUAUUAUGUCAUAGUAAAUUUGAACAAGCAUUAGAGGCAGUAACAAUAAACAAUGGAAAAGACUGUACAAAAUACACUUUAGUUUUUGUUGGCCGUGUAUACUUAGAUCAUUUGUUAGCUUGUGGGAAAUAUGAUGAAGCAGGAAAACUCUGCUCUAAAAUUUUAGGAAAGGAUAAAAAAUUAUGGGAGGAAGAAGUGUACAAAUUUGCAAGAGUUCAUCAGUUACGGUCUAUUUCUUCUUAUCUUCCAAGAGGCGAUGUCACAUUAGAUCCAUUGAUUUACGAAAUGGUUCUUUAUGAAUAUUUGAAAAUGGAUCCUGAUGGAUUUCUUCAACUAGUCAAAGAAUGGUCUCCUAAAUUGUAUAAAGUUGCAGCUGUUGUCAAUGGUGUUUUGGAACAUCUUCUAAUUCAUAAUCAACGACAAAAUGUACUGUUAGAAGCUUUAGCAAUUCUAUAUAUUUACGACGAAAAAUACGACAAAGCAUUGGCCAUGUAUUUAAAAUUAAGACAUAAAGAUGUAUUUCAACUUAUUCAGAAAUAUCAAUUGUAUAAUACCGUUUACGACAUGAUAGAAGGUUUAAUGGAUCUAGAUGCGGAACGUGCUAUACAAUUUUUUUUAGAAAAAGACAGAGUGCCAUCUGAUAUUGUUGUACAAAAAUUACAACGUAAUCAUCGAUAUUUAUAUUUGUAUUUAGAUGCAUUAGAUAAAAAAGAUACGAAAGGAAAAUACCAUGGAUUGUUAGUUCAACUUUAUGCUAAUUAUUCAAGAGAUAAAUUGUUACCACUUCUACGUCGUUCUGAUAAUUAUCCAAUACAGCAAGCGCUAGAUAUUUGUAGCCAGCGAAAAUUUUAUCCAGAAAUGGUAUACUUACUUGGUAGAAUUGGAAAUACUUCUGAGGCUUUAGCACUUAUGACUAGAGAAUUGAAUGAUAUGCAAAGCGCGAUCGCAUUUUGUCAAGAACACGAUGACGAGGAAUUGUGGAAUGAUUUAAUUAUUUAUUCUCUUGAUAAGCCUCAGGCUAUCACAUUUCUAUUGCAAAAAAUAGGCACUUAUGUCGAUCCUAGACUCAUGGUACAAAGAAUAGAACCGUCUUUAGAAAUUCCUGGUUUAAAGAAAGCUUUAGUCAAGAUGAUGUGUGAUUAUAAUCUUCAAGUGUCGGUACAAGAAGGAUGUAAAAAAAUUUUAUCCAAUGAUUAUUUUAAUUUACAUGAAAGGCUAGUUAAAUGUUAUCAAAGAGGAAUAUUUAUAGAUGAUGAUCAAAUGUGUGGAGCUUGCCAUAGAAAAAUAAUUGUAAAAGAACCAAGAAAUCUAGUUGUAUUUUAUUGCAAACAUUCAUUUCAUGAAGAUUGUUUACCAAAUUUCGAAGUAGUGGAAAAUUGUGUUAUAUGUAAUUCCCAAAAAGAUAUAUCACCUAACAGAAAAUGAUACAGUAGAACAUUUUGUACAUAUUCUGAACACUUUAAGACAUCCAGGACAUUUCAAAUAAAACUGAAAAUUAAAAAAUUACACAAUGUAAUUUUGAUGUUGCUGAACUGAUAAGUUUUGACCCACCGAAAUGACCCUCAAUAGACAUCGAAGAUUGCACAUGCACUAAAAAUUCCCAAGCCUUAGGUCCGAUGGAUUCUACCACAACACAAUAGCCGCCUAUUGGUUUCGUAUCCUUUAUAGGUUUACUUUUUGAACAAAUUAUUAAGGUCUCUCGAAAACAUAAAUCCUUUUGAUUUAUAUCGUCUAAGGUACAAAAAGAAAAAAGAAAACUAUUCAGAGAAUGCAGCAUAUUAUUUUUUUCAACAAAAAUCUACUGUUUAACAAUGAAAACAGUAUAGCAUAUAAGUAUAAAAAUAGUUACAUUCCAUAUACAAUUCAUUUCACCAGUGACGAAUAAAUUUAGUAAUUUGUAUAUUGUAUAUUUUUCUAUGCUAUAUUUUACUACGUUCCAUUUUUUUGUGAACGUUUAUUUGUUUUAUUUAUGAAACAUCUUUAUUCGUUAUUGGAGAAACUUAUUUAAAAUAAUUUAUUUUAAGAAGAUGUGAGAUAGAUAUUUUGUAUUAUUUGAAAAACUUUUUAACAAAUUCAUUGGUCACAUAUAAUUGCUUUGUUUGAAAUUAUCUAAUCGUGAAUCCAUAAUUUAUUGUACAUACUAACAUAUACAUUAAGGUUUUAGAAAAUUAUUUUACAAUAAAACGUGAGGAAAUUACGAUUUAUACUUUAAUAUGUACAGUAAGAAGUUUGUCAAAUUGUUACAAUAUAUAUUUUGUAUUUUAUACAACAAGGUGCCAUUAUUGUAUAAAAUAAUUUUGGUAUGUUCUGUGGUAUUUGAGAGAAUCUACGAAUACAAAAUUUGCAUAAUAUCACAGUUAUACCUAAGUCUCUAGGUCUCUAUGUAAAUAUUCUGUCUAAGUUGCAAUGUAGAACAAUAAUAUGUAAAAUACAAUUAAUAUAUAAAUUUUUUACAUCGCUCA